rnacentral:rRNA from 1 species
GAUGAACGCUAGCGGCAGGCUUAACACAUGCAAGUCGAGGGGUAACAGGAAAAAGCUUGCGUUUUUGCUGACGACCGGCGCACGGGUGCGUAACGCGUAUAGAACCUACCUUUUUACUGAGGGAUAGCCUUUAGAAAUGAAGAUUAAUACCUCAUGGCAUCAUUUAGUGGCAUCACUAUAUGAUUAAAGAUUUAUUGGUUAAAAGAUGGCUAUGCGUCCUAUUAGUUAGAUGGAGAGGUAACGGCUCCCCAUGGCAUCGAUAGGUAGGGGUCCUGAGAGGGAGAUCCCCCACACUGGUACUGAGACACGGACCAGACUCCUACGGGAGGCAGCAGUGAGGAAUAUUGGACAAUGGGCGCAAGCCUGAUCCAGCCAUGCCGCGUGCAGGAAGACUGCCCUAUGGGUUGUAAACUGCUUUUAUACGGGAAGAAACACCCCUACGUGUAGGGGCUUGACGGUACCGUAAGAAUAAGCACCGGCUAACUCCGUG